rnacentral:rRNA from 1 species
CAGUAGCCGCCACGGGAAUACGGAGGGUGCAAGCGUUAAUCGGAAUUACUGGGCGUAAAGCGCACGCAGGCGGUCUGACAAGUCAGAUGUGAAAUCCCCGGGCUUAACCUGGGAACUGCAUUUGAAACUGUCAGGCUGGAGUCUUGUAGAGGGGGGUGGAAUUCCAGGUGUAGCGGUGAAAUGCGUAGAGAUCUGGAGGAAUACCGGUGGCGAAGGCGGCCCCCUGGACAAAGACUGACGCUCAGGUGCGAAAGCGUGGGGAGCAAACAGGAUUAGAUACCCGGGUAGUCCCUGUCUCUUA